UCUCUAGUGCCUUGCAUCCUGUUCUUCAUAGAUGGCAUAUUUUCAAUCUAUAUCAGAAAUCUUCGGCCAAAUAUAACAAAGAAGGAAGUUAAGGAUGUGUUCGCAAAAAAUUUUGGAUCAGUCAAGGAACAAGGCGUUGAGCUCUUAAGAGACAGGUACUUGUGGCAUGGCUUUGUCGAAUUUGAAUCAUAUUCUUACGUGCAAGCUGCAGUCGAGGCGAAGAAGGUCCUUAUCGGGAAGCGCCCAGUUUUUAUUGAGCACUUGACCAAAGUUACCCAUGGCAAGUGAACUGUACAACAGUUUUUCUUG